ACCCUGUUCCCAGACCCGGGUGGUGGUCUGGGGGGUUGGAAGGGGCGGGAAGGGCGCUGUCUUAAGAAUCAUCCUCACAUCUCAGGGCUUCGCCCCUCGAGGGAGGUGACCCUUGGCCACCCUCUGCGCAGUUCUCCCUGAAAGGUCAUGCCACGUCUUAGCACUCUGGUCCCUGCGCCCCUGCAGGCCUCGCGGAUCCCCCACUUGUCUCGACGCAGGGGACGCCCACUUGUCUGACGCAGGGGACGUGGCUGAAGUCAGUCGGGCCGCCCGCUUGCUGCACGGCAGCCGUGGGACUGGCACAGGCUCCUCGGCAGCAUUAUGGGCAGCUGGUAGAGCGGCCACUUCUGAGAGCCGGAUGGGCCUUCCGAGGUCGGGCCGUGCCCCGCUGGGCAGCGCAGAGGGGGUGUGUAGGGCACGCGACUUGGAGCCAGGUCCAGACCCAUCCUGGCUCCUCUCAGGGCUCCUUCCCCUGCCCCCAUUCCACCCCAGCCCUGCUGGCUGUCCCGCAGGACCCAGCGCCGCGGUAGCCUUCUCUGAACUGCGGCUCAGGCGGAGGUGUCACUCCUGCCUCCAGCCCAGGAGGGCAGGUCAGGUUAUGCAACGCGUGCCGCGCGAUCUCCCCCCACCUCCAACCCCCUUUUCUCCCGGGUCCACACCGCAGUUCCCACCGCUCCGGGUGUCCUCCCCAGUGCGCCGCGAUUUUUGUGUCCAAGCCCCAGAGUCCCUCUGAGACCAACCCCCAGCCAGCACAGACUUCCUGCCUUCCCAGCUCGGAAGCGCCCUCGAGAAGUGUCUAAAGGAGACAGUUGAUAGCCAAACAACAGUUUUGGAUUCACUGACUGAUUAUGAAAGAAGCAGUAGACUGGUAUCAAGAAUCAGUCAGCAAGGAGGCCCUCACCAGACGCCAGUGCCAUGUUCUUGGACUUCUCAGCCUCCAUAUUCAUGAACUAAGUUUUUGGAAUCCUUAGGCUUCCACGUGUGGAAAGCCUGAGCUAACCUACUGGAGGAUGAGCCAUCACCUGGAGCAGAUUCAGGCCAUCCUAGUUGAAGCCUCCCUAGGCCAAGCAACCGUCCAACUACCAGACAUUGACCAUUCAGCCUUGAACAUUCAGCACAAAGACAAAACAGACCAGACCAGAAGAGUCCCACAGAAUAGGGGAAACUAUUCAGAGAAAACUUAAGCCACUAAGUUUUAUGGUGUUUUGUUCUGUAGCAGAAGCAUAGGCAUACUGACAAUACAAACCGAAAUCCUUCUAACGUAGUGGACCUUUUCAGGCCAGCAUUUUUUCCUUGAAAACCUGGAGCAUGUAUCCAUCUUAUAGCAGAGAUCACUUUCACAAUGUUUGGGCUCUUGAUUUGAAUUGAUGAUGUAAUGAGCCCUCUAUCCAGAUUGUAACUAAUUACUCUGCGAAUUGACUGGAUUCCACACCCUUCUAAUAUUUUACUUUUCCUCUUUUAUCAACUCUCAUUCUUGCUGCCAUGAUCAAUGGACCAACUAUGCUUAUAACCACAAAUUUUGAUAUGCUUAAACAAAUGAACAAAUAUAUUUAAUAAUUUCUUUUUUUUUUUUGAAAUAGUAUCUUGCUCUGUCACCCAGGCUGCAGUGCAGCAGCGUGAUCUCAGCUCACUAUAACCUCCACCUCCCGGGUUCAAGUGAUUCUCCUGCCUCAGCCUCCCAAGUAGCUGGGACUACAGGCGCCCACCACCAUACCUGGCUAAUUUUUUGUAUUUUUAGUAGAGACAGGGUUUAUCCAUGUUGGCCAGGCUGGUCUCAAACUCCUGACCUCAAGUGAUCCUCCUGCCUCGGCCUCCCAAAGUGCUGGGAUUACAGGUGUGAGCCACCAUGCCCAGCCAAUAAUUUCCUGAUAUAAUAAAAAUGCCAAUACUAUACAAUUAAAUAGUAAAGUGAUAAAAAAUAGGAUAACAUGAUAACCACUAAUUAAUAUAUACUACAUAAUCAUCCUUUUCGUGAGUUGAAAUGUUCUUUUAGCACACUUUAUGGUUUAUCCUUUCUGGAAUACUAUUAUAUGAUCAUGAUUUUUCUCACACUUGUUCCAGUGAAAUAUACUUUUAGGUGUUUCCUUUGUAUUGUUCAAACUGUAAUAUCUCCAGUGGAAGAUUUUUUAAGCUUGUUCUUGUCUUGUCAGUGUCACCCACAUAGUCAUAGUCUGAAAGCAUUUUGCUUUCUGGAAAUAAGAUAUUAUAGGCACCAAGUUAUGGAAUUAUCUACUUUUCACCAAGCCUUCAUUCUUUCAGUGCUGUAUUAGAGACCUCAUUUAGGGUUCUAAGGGUGCAUAUCAAAUUGUUCCAUGAGUCUAAAAUGGAUAAUUCUUCUGUGGGCCAUUUUUAGUGCUAGAGCUAGAAAAGUUAUACUUUUAAAAGGUAAAUAGCUCACAAUGAUUUUGCAAUAUAAUUCCCACUUUACCCAAUUAUUAACUGCUGUUUGAAUAUAAAAAUAUUUUUAAACUUUUUUAUUUACAACAUAUCUAUUUAAAUUCAAUACAGCAUUCCCAAAUAAAUAUAGCAGAAGUGGGAGUUUCAAGUUACUAAACAUGUCAGUCACAAUUUAUGGAGCCGAUUGAAAGAUGGAGAAAUAUUACUGUAUUAGUUUCUUCUCACAUUGCUAUAAAGAAAUAUCUAAGACUGGGUAAUUUAAGAAGGAAAGAGGUUUAAUUGGAUCAUGGUUCCACAGGCCAUACAGAAAGCAUGAUGCUGGCAUUUUCUCAGCUUCUGGGGAGGCCUCAGGAAAUUUACAAUCAUGGAUGGGAAGGGGAGCAAGCACUUCACAUGGCCAGAGCAGAAGGAAGAGAGAGAGGCGGAGGUGCCUCACACUUUAAAACAACCAGAUCUCAUGAGAACUCUAUCUCUAUCAUGAGAACAGCACCAAAAGGGGAAAUCUGCCCCCAUGAUCCAAUCAUCUCCCACCAGGCCCCACCUCCAACACUGGGGAUUGUAAUUGAACAUGAGAUUUGGGUGGGGACACAGAUACAAACCAUAUCAUUCCACUCCUGGCCCCACUCAAAUCUCAAGUCCUUCUCACAUUGAGAAAUACAAUCAUGCCUUCCCAACAGUUGCUCAAAGUGUUAACUCAUUCCAACAUUAACUCAAAAGUCCAAAGUCUCAUCUAAGACAAGACUAGUCUCUUCCAUCCAUAAGUCUGUAAAAUCAAAAAAAAGUAAGUUACUUCCAAGAUACAAUGGGGAUAUAGGCAUUUGGUAAAUAUUCCAACUCCAAAAGGGAGAAAUCAACUAAAAGAAAGGGGCUACAGGCCCCAUAAAAGUCUGAAAUCCAGCAGGGCAGUCAUUAAAUCUUAAAGCUUCAAAAUAAUCUUUGACAUUAUGUCCCACAUCCAGGGCACACUUGUGCAAGGGGUGGGCUCCCAAAUCCUUGGGCAACUCUGCCCCUGUGGCUUUCCAGGGGUCAGCCCCCAUGGCUGCUCUUAAGGGCUGGCAUUGAGUGCUUGCAAUUUUUCCAGGCACAUGGUGGCAAGCUGUCAGUGGCUCUGCCAUUCCAGGGUCUGGAAGAUGGUGGCCUUCUUCUCAACUGCCUAUCUAUUAGGCAGUUCCCCAGUGGGUACUCUAUGUGGGGGCUCCAACCCCACAUUUCCCCUCUGCAUUGCCCUAGUAGAGGUUCUCCAUGAGGGCUCCACCCCUGCAGCAGGCUUUUACCUGGACAUCCAAGUGUUUCCAUACAUCCUCUGAAAUCUAGAUGGAGGCUCCCAAGCCUCAAUUCUUGUACUCUGUGCACCUUCAGGCUUAACACCACAUGGAAGCUGCCAAAGCUUAUGGCUCACACCCUCUGAAGCAGUAGCCGGAGCUGUACCUGGGCCCCUUUUAGCCAUGGCAUUCUCAAAGAAUGUUGAGAGAGAUGGCUGGAGGUGGAGUGGCUGGGAUGCAGGGAGCAGUGUUCUAAGGCUACAUAAGGCAGCAGGGCCCUGGGCCCAGCCAAGGAAACUAUUCUUCCCUCCUAGGACUCUGGACCCGUGAUGGGAGAGGCUGCUGCAAAGGUCUCUGAAAUGCCUUGGAACCCUUUUCUCCAUCGUCUUGUCUAUCAAUAUUUGCCUUCCUUUUAGUUAUGCAAAUUUAUGCAGCCUUCUUGAAUUCCUCCCCAGAAAAUAGGCUUCUCUUUUCUACCACAUGGCUGGGCUGCAAAUUUUCCAAACUUGUACUCUCUGCUUCCCUUUUAAAUAUAAGUUCCAGUUUCAGAUCUUUUCUUUGCUCACACAUAUGAGUAUAUGUUGUUAGAAGAAGCAGCCAGACCACAUCUUGAACAUUUCGCUGCUUAGAAAUUCCUUCUACCAGAUACCCUAAAUCAUCUCUCUCAAAUUUAAAGUUCCACAGAUCCCUAGAGCAAGGGCACAAUGCAGUCAGUUUCUUUACUAAAUCAUAGCAAAAAUGACCUGUGCUCCAGUUCCCAAUAAGAUCCUCAUCUCCAUCUGAUACCUCCUCAGCCUGGACUUCAUUAUCAGCAUUUUGGUCACAAUAAUUUGACAAGUCUCUAGGAAGUUCUAAACUUUCCCUCAUCUUCCUGUCUUUUUCUGAGCCUCCACAUUCUUCCAACUUCUGCCAGUUACCCAAUUCCAAAGAUGCUUCCACAUUUUCAGGUAUCAUUAUAGCAACGCCCCACUCGUCAGUACCAAUUUUCUGUAUUAGUCUGUUCUCACAUUGCUACAAAUACCUGAGACUAGGUAAAUUUAUAAAGAAAAGAGGUUCUGCAGGUUGUAUAGGAAGCAUAAUGGCUUCUGCUUCUAGGAAGGCCUCAGGAAACUUACAGUCAUGGUGGAAGGCAAAGGAGAAGCAAGGAUUUCACAUGGCUGGAGCAAUUACCCAAAGGGAGAAUGCCACCAAAUUCUACAAGUGAUUAGCUUUUAUUUCUAGGAGGCAAAAAACAGGUGGCUUAUGCCUGUAAUCUCAGCACUUUGGGAGGCCAAGGUGGGCAGAUCAAAAGGUUAGGAGAUUGAGAUUUAUGGAGCUUUUUUUGCCUAAACCACUUACCUUCUUAGCAUAGGGACUUUUAAAAAUUCUGAUUAUCAGAAUAUGGCUGAGAGAUGUCAGAACCAUUUUUCUCAAAUAUGAAUUCUUAGCAGGAAUAGAAAUUGCAAUUUUUUAAUUUUUAAUUUUAAGAGGAAUUAGUGCCAGAGAGAACUAUUAAGAAAGGGGUAUAUCCAGUCUAAGGAUUAUUAGGCUCAAGUCCAUGAAUAGGCUCUGGGAAGUUUGUAAACACUUGGAAAUUAUUUGCAAAAUGUGUGUGUGAAUGUGCUUUACCUUAGAGAGUUCAUGAAUUUCAUUAGAUUGUUGAAAGAGUUUUAGUAUUAACAAAGGAAAAACAAACCACCACCAUCACAUAACAAAACCACAACAGUGAUUUAAUCUUUUCACCUAACAAUAAGUAAAUUGAGGCUCUGAUGGCUAAAUUAAUAGCCUGAGGCUACACAGUCAGUGGCAGAGCCCAGGGUAAAGAGAGAACCAGCACAGCCAUUGUGGGAGCCGAGGGUAAAGAGAGAGCUAGGUGUUGUACUUAGUAAAUAAAUCAGAAAUUCCUAACUCUUAGGCUGGAGUUCUUCCUGUUAUGUGAAGCCAAAGUAGGGAAUCAUUAGGUCCAAGAAUAGGAAUUACAUUUAUAUUUUAAUGAAAAGGUGCAGUAAAAUUUAAAGGAAGAGAGAGGGUUGCAGAUGACAGAAUACAAAGAAUGUUGAGAGAGAUGAAGCAAGAUGAGUCCAUAGAAUCAGAGGCUUAGAAGUAAUUCCUAUUUAUGAAAGGGAGUGAGAACAAUGUGGUGAGGUGUAUAGAGCUAUGUGAAAGUGCUUGUCAAUAACAUGGCUGCAGAAUGCUGAUGGUGGUAAUUGAAAAGGAAGUAAAAUAUAAAAACAUUUGCAGAAUAUUUCUUUUUUUUUUUCUCUUUUUCUUUUCUUUCUUUUUUUUUUUUUUUUGAGGCAGAGUCUCGCUCUGUCGCCCAGGCUGGAGUGCAAUGGCGCUAUCGUGGCUCAUUGCAAGCUCC
rnacentral:lncRNA from 1 species